GGCAGUUCUCGGGUGACGCACCCCAGAAUCAAACUCCCUCCUCUCUGGUUCUGGGUGCGUCACUGGAGAACCACC
rfam:Myotis lucifugus cont2.22211, whole genome shotgun sequence.